CUGGUUCUCUCUCUGGGAAAAUGAAAGCACUCCAAAUGGCUACUGAUUGUAUUGGUGUUGUUUGUUUUUUUUUAGUCUUCUGUUGCUGAAGUGGAAUAUAGUUAACCCUGUGAGAGGAACUGGGGGGAAAAAUAAUUUUUGCUCCUGAAAUUAGCUUUCAAUAAAGCUUCCCAUGAAUGUCAAGAAUCAGACUUGGGCAGCCCAUAAAUAGUUGUGGUUGAAUUGGUUGUAGGCUUUUGUUUCACGUUGCUUCUUGAAGGUACUCUCUCUCUCUCUUUUUUUUCUUUUUUCUUAAAGCAAAACAUUCAUAGGAAAUGAACUCAUCAAGGGCUGUGGGUUAAAUAGGCAUGUGCUGGGCAGGUGUGCUUCCCCACGGGACCUGAGUGCUGUGCUGGGUGGCUGUGGGAGGGGGCUCAGUGAUGCACGGUCUGGGAAGGUGCAGCUGCUGGUCCAUGUCUCUCCCUUUUAAGCUCUGCUAACACACAGAGCAAUCAAGUGGGUGGGAGCCUGGCUGUAGUGCAUGUCUGUUCCAUGUGGUGGGAAGGUGACUUGUGUGCUGCUGCACGAAUGAGCAGCAGAAUCAUAUUUUGAAUAAGGGUUCAAAAUACAUUAAAACAGAAUAAAAUCUUGCUGUUAAAGGCGCUUCAGGCAUUACACAGGAGAGGAACACGUCAAGAUUUGUAACAGAAAUCUGUGACUACCUUCUUGCUUGCUUCAUGCAAGUAAGCAACCUGGCCUUUCUGAGGAAAUGCUUAUUGUUUUGAAGGCUUUUUGACUGUGGGAAAAUGGAGGGAGAAGCCUCUUGCCCUAUUACUGCCUUCAGCUGCACUCUGAAUGACAGUAGCACUGAGAAAAGGAAGUGUUUUGCUUUGUGAUUUGUGACCCAGGCUCACUCCUGGGAAGCUGCCUGCUCCUUACGGUGUGUUGCCAACCUUCAGCCAGAAACCAUGCGAGAAGUCUGCCCAGCUCUAGCGCUGACAUCAGAGAUCAGCCCUCAGUGCAAGGGAACAGACUUGGAGCUAUUAUUAGUAGGCUUUAAUAUGUAUCUUUCAAGCUUAUUUUAUUCAGAAAAACAAUAAAGGAAGUGGUAAUCAGUUGUACUGAAAAUGUGCAAGCUGCAGUGCCGGGAAGCCUGUUGUGCUGUUGGAGCUCAGCUCCAAGUAAUCUGACCAGCAAAGAAAAGCAGAAGUGGAAAAUGAAAGUAUUAGGAAAAAAACAUGGUUAACUUGGGACAGGAAACUUGGGCGCAGAACUUGAAAGUAAUACUUAAUUAAGUGGGAAGCAGAGAUAUUGUCAGGCCUUUCUCAGACAUCAGAAGUAUAUUCAAGGCUAUGGGUCUUGUCAAGCAAAUCUCUGGGCUACAAGAAAAGAAACAAAGCUGCUACCAAACUAGGCUGUUUCAGAGCUUCUGGGUGUAACUAAAAGAACCAGGAAUGAGCUACUUCUGUUUCUCUGAGCAGUUCUCAAUGCUGUAAUUAUGUUACAGGGACCUCAGUAAUGGUCUGCAUACUGGUAUUAAAAAUCUGUUGAUUUUAGUAUUUCACAGAAAACAGUUAAAUAUGAUGAAUUUUUAUAGAAAAAAAAUUCCUCCUUUGAACUGAUUACCAGUUCUUCCAUCAUUUAAAAAUGCAUUCGUUUCUAAAGCAGACUAUUUGGGCUGCAAAUGUCACAUUCACAUAUUUCAAUGCUCGUUCUAAAUAAAAAAAAAUCUCAGUUUGUAAUUUGCCCUAUAGUUAGUUUUGUAUGGGUGCUCUUGGUAUGUGGAUGGGGACAGCAAUCCAUCCUGAGAUCCCUUCUGACAGGUCAGGUACUGGGACGUCUCCCUGGGGGGGAAGUUUUGACUGAUGCUCAUACACAGUUUGUUAGGCUCCACACAUACUGCCACCUAGAACUCAUUUUGAAGCUUGUCUGACGAUGAUGGUGAUGAUGUCAGACUAUUUUGGCAUGGCACCUUAUGCAUAUGCCACUUCAUGGGUAAUUCAUUAAAAUAAAGUAGGGGUAAGCCACUGACUGACCAGACUCCUACUUCAUCACCUGGGCAAAUGAGUAACUUUUCUGUGCUGUAGUCACUGGCCUCUUUUUUGUUCUUCUUCUUUUUUUUUUUUUUCCCCAAAGUCAGGUCCAGACUCAUUUAAUUAGAGAAGAGAAGCUGAUGUGAUGACUGAUGAUGUAGGCAAAGGUGAGGGAGCAAAGGCAGAAAAGUUUCUUUAAAAGAUGUUUCCAUUUCCCUCAUCAGCAUCUCAUCCAGCUCUCUCACUACCCAGAGUUUUGUGAGCCUUCUCUGAUUGUUCUCACCAACAUUAAGGAAGAUUGGCACAGUUCUGGUAUUCUUGCUUCCCCGAAGCAAAACUGUGGCUCUAUGAAGUGAUGAGUCUUAUGUGGGAUAAGAGACCCUGCAGACACCUCCCUGCUCAGCUGCAGCUUGCCCAGCAGAGUCAGCUGUUUCUGCUCCAGAUGGAGGCUGUGCAGCUGCUGUUUUCUGUCUGCAGUGGGAAGGUUGGUGGCAAGGGGUAAAUUCACCCCAGGUAAUUCAUAUUAUUUUACUUGGAAAAAGGUCUGCUUGCUGUGACUCAGAUUGAUCCUUACCUUGCGCAAAUAUAACAGCUUCUCAGUGCAUCUCCCACCAAGCAGUGCUUGCAGCAGCCUUUUAUUGUGGUUUACAUGUGCGCAGACUGUUCUCAAUGUAGGACAGCAGCAGGCAGAGUUUCCGCUGAAAUGUGUUCAAGCUGAAGUUCUCCCAUGCAUUGUCUGUGUGGUUGCAUUUCCUUAAGCACGCACGUUUUUGUAACUUCAUUUUUUACUUAUGAAAAGUAUUGUUUCUAAAUGGUGCUGGUAUGAGUACUAAAUAGCAUGCUUUGUUCAGGCUGUGGUUUCAAAGCAGUGACUGAUUCAAUGUUAAAGCAUUCAAAUAAGUGUGUUAGGCAGGACAGGUGGCACAGAGGCGUUUUGGGUAUCAGCAUGUGCACCUUUUGUUUCUUUGCUCUAGAAAGGUCUAAGAAAGGAAAAGAAAGCACAGUGCACACCUGUGUAACUUGCACCAUACUGAGGACUGCUUCUCUAAUGAAAAUGAAAGAUCUUCAAGUGGAGAGUAAGAGCUAUCAUGUUGAGGAAGAACAGAAAGUGCACUGUUCUGCUCCUUCUGUCGGCAUUAGCACCAAAAGGACCUUGUGCAUAACUUAAACUGUGUGCAACAACUAUCACAUGCCUCUCAAAAUCAUGUCCUUUUCUCUCGUAGUUGAACAGCUGUAUUUAAAAAGAUAGUUUUGAACUUUGUAUGGAACUUGUAAUUAUGUCUGCAGUUUGGGCUUCUCUCUACAGCAGUUCCUAGCAGUGAUGCUCUCACUCUGUUGACUUCAGUGCAGUAGACAUCAGCAGCUUGAAUUUCCCCUUGAAGCCUGAACAAGUAUGGGAGAAAAUAGCUUUGGGCAACACCAGCUUAAACUGAAAAUGAAUAAAGGGAAUAAGAAGAAUUUCCUUUCUUCUAGUGAAAAUAUUAAUACUACAGUAGGAAGACAGAAGGCAUUUUUUUUAGUCAACAUAAAGCAAGUGAACGUUUGGAAAGUUCUGCAGUUUGUGAAAUGCUCGUUAUUACGGCACUGAUGAUACUGAAGAAAUAAGAAAGCUCUGCAGUGUAAAAAGAGGUGUCAAUAGGUAUGUGAAUUACAGGGUGGGAAGAGAGCUGGCGGUAAGAGGUUCAGAAACCUGAUGCUUUACAGUAACUCUGACUUCCUCUAUACAAAUUUUAGCUGUUUUGAAGUGCUCAGAUUAAAAAAAAAAAAAAAAAAGGAUGAACUUCCCCCUCUCCAAACAGUGUCUGAUUGACUUGUAACCAACAAACCAAAGGCUUAUGUGAAAGUAAAGAUGUCUAUGGCUAGGUAAGGUAUGUCAUGUUGGUUUUGAUCUCACAAAUCAUAACAUCUCAACAGGUUCUUUGACAGAGGAAUGUGUUUAUUGUAGAAAACUAAGUUGAAAAAUAAAUUGACAAUGGAAACUUUCACAGUUCUCUGCUGGAACAUAAUUUUAAGUGUAUCCUAUCAGCAUUUGAGGGUGGAAGAUGAUUCAAUUUCUUGCCUAUGUGCAGUUUGGUCAAGCUCUCAAGUAACACUGUGGGAAAGAUGGAGAGGCCUGAGAAGGCCGUAUUUCCACCUAUGAAAUCACAAACAGUUAAAUAUUUUCAGGUUUAUGCUUUUCAGUAGUUUUACUAAAUCAUAGUUUCUGUCAUGGAAACCUUAAAGUGGCAGGCCUUGACAGAAGAGCAAAGAAAAGUCUUGGCUAUUGGGAAGCAGUUGGAAGAUGUGUUUGCUUUUACUGCGGUGAUAACUCAAAUUGCUAGUGCUCAGUUAUAGAAGAAGGUAAGUGGCAGUAGGCUCUGCACUUGAGGAAACCCUCACACAGAAAAGAAUAUUUCUAAAUAGAAAUAUUUGAAAUUCUUGAAGAACUGAAUGACUUGGAGGGGAAAGGCAGAGUCACUCUGGAGCAUCACAAACUCAAACCUUUGCCAUAAAACCAGCAAGAACUUGUAACAGCUUCAGCAUGGAUUGAGCUUGGGAAUUGAUGCUGCGUUUGAAGAUUUCAUUUUAAAAAUGAAUCUGAUUUUUAAUAAAUGAAGAAUUUUCCUUUCCGAUUGUUAAAGGAGAUAAAAAGAAAUUAUAUCUGGUAGAUAGAUCUUUCAUAACUUCUUACCAUUCUUAUGAUUUUGAAAAGGGUCACUAGACUACAAUAUAGAAUGUUAUUGUGCACAGGCUGAAUGAUAGUGUUGUGCUUACAGUUGUGGAAAGAGAUUGCUCUGAAAUAUACAAAAAUACAGUGUGAUUUUGUUGUUGUUGUUGGUGGUUUCUUCCAGUUCCUACUGACCACUAUGGGUCAGGGAAGAAUCCACAAUGAAAUACUGAUUGAUGUGUAAAAAUAGUUGUGUGUGCGUAUGCACACACACUGGUGAAAAGCUUUGGCAGUCCUAACCCUUGCUCUAAUAAUAAUUUAAGGUCUCUCCCCUCUUCCCUAUAGCACUCUGGGACUAGGCUCAGAAAUAAUGAGAAUUAUAAAAUGUGGGGUUCAGAAGAAUUUAUGUAUAAACCAUAUGGGGACUUGAAAAAUAAAACAAAAUUGAGAUGCAACUUUGAAUUGCCUAAGCAGACACAACUGUUUAUUUGCAUCUUUUUGUAGAAUCAUAGAAUGGUUUGGGUUGGAAGGGACCUUUAAGAUCAUCUAGAUCCAACUGCCCCACUGUAAGCAGGGACACCUCCCUCUACACCAGGUUGCUCAGAGCCCAUCCAGCCUGGCCUUGAAUGCUUCCAAGAAAGGGACAUUAUUUUAUCUUUUCUGGACUUCUCUUCAUGAAAUAUAGAUUUAAUAUGUUCACACAGUUGAUUUGAAGCAUGCAGCAAUAAGAGACCACAACUUGGGGGACUGUUAGUUAAUGAUACUGUGGAAUGUGUAGGAUCCUGUUUGAUACGACUGAGAGGAGAGUUGGUGAGGCUUUUUAAUAUAGAUGGUUCCACAUGGAAUGAAGUGUGUGUAUAUACCGGUGCAAGUAUGUGCCUUUAUAUACAUACAGAUGGAUAUAUAAAUGUCAGUAACAGUGUGAAAAAUUCAGAGUUGCUCAAAUACAGCAUAAUAGAUCUUUAGUGUUUAUUGGGUGCAUUUUAAAUGCAGUUUUUCUUUCCAUAUGGACUGUGUUUUCAAUCUCCAUUCUGCCCUUCACCUCACUGCAGCAUUCAUUUUUCUUCAUGCCGAAGACCAGCAGGAGGUCUCUAAAAUGAUUUUUUUCCAUAAGAACUACAAGGCUGGGCCUAUAGUUUCACUGUAGAUGAAAGAAAUAGUUGAUUUCUUUGAGAAAACAGUGAAAAUCAGGAAUAUUUUGUUCAAUACUACAGCAGUGUUUGCAGUAAUUGCCUUGUACUGUUUGCAAGUCUUUCCACUUCAUAUAAAUACAUUCACUUCAGAGAAAAAUCCCUUAUAGUUGUGAGACGGGGCUUUUUGAAGGAGGUGUUUGUUUGAAGGUUUACGGUUCUCUUAAACACACAUUUUUUCUUCAAAGUAAAUCUUGUAGUCUCCCUGUCACAAAUUCUUCUUGCUAGGAAUUCUGCUUAAAGAAUCAUUUGAAUUUCAGUAUCAGGUAUUUCAAGCACAUACAUCUAAUGUCUUGUAAAAUUCUUAUAGUCAGCCAGUGGACCCAAAUAAGAAAGUAAAGCUCUGAUAGUUUGAAAUCUAUUCCUAGCAACCUGUUGCAGGAGGGAAACAAACAAACAACCCAAACAACGACAAAAAAAACCACAUGGUAACAAACCAAAAAACUUUGGGAUGCAAAGAAAUGGAGGGUGACUCUAAAGUAAAUGAAGUAUUCUUGAAAUCAUUUAAGAUCUGACCAAAAAUUCCCUAAACUUCAUAAAUGAACUCCCCAACCCCCUUCCCCACACACCUGGUAAAACCCCUCUGAUUCAGAUUUAUGCAGUAUUGUAUGGAAUAACCUCAGCUGGAUAUGUUCUGAGAACAUAAUCUGCUUGUUUCCCAAGCUCAGAGCAGAGGGGUUUUUUCAGUGUUAAUUGUUUGUGGCCAUUUCUAAUUGAGUGUUCACUCUCCCUGAAGAUGGAUGCUGCAUUCUACUGAGUGAUCAUCUUUGUGGAAUUUUUGCUCUUGCUGUCAGAAUCUUGCUCAGUGCAGUUGGUUGUUCCUUACUUGUGCAUCUCUGAGAAAAGUUCACUCUGUGUUCUUCCUCACAACUCCCCAGGCAGUAAGAUUAUACUGAUUGCAGUAGCUUCUGUAUGGACAACUGGGGUAUGCCUUAUACAUUGCACAGGAGUGAGGUCAUCAUGUUUGAGAGUAUUUAGCUCUGAACUCUAGCUAACAAUGGCUGUUUCAUUUGGUAUGGUUUUGAAAUCUCUGAUAUGUUGAAAUGCAAAUAUUUGUUUGUAAGCUAUAAACCUGAAGAAAAAGAACACUGUAUUCUCAAGAAAGUUUCAGAAUAAAAUAUAGAAUUUUUGCACAGUGUUUCUUAUGCAGCUUGGAGAUGAACCAUUUCCCUGUUAAGGUAAAAAUGUAUAUUACUUGAAACCUUCUCUGGCUUAUAUUUAAUUAUUAUGAGAUUCCAGGUUCCUACGGCUCUAGGCCAGCAUCUCAUUUCUAAGAAACCAGAAGUAAACUUCCUUGAAGCCAGGCUUCUUCUUUUUGGUCAUGGGCCCCAGGAACACUUAGUGAGAUUUUCCCCCAUUGUUCAAGGUUUAGCAACAAAUCUAAGUUACCAAGUCUCUUGCUAGAUAAGAUGUUUUUUUGUUUGUUUUUGUGUUGUUUUUUUUUGUUUGUUUGUUUUUUUCCCCUCCCCCCUCUGGUUUUUAGACCCUGAAGCUUUAAAGACACGACCCUUAAAAUGCUAUCAAUGGUAAUUUUAGCAGCAAAUCUGAACAUUACUUCAAAUUUCUGAACACUUCUGUAACUCCAUCAGCACCUCAGAACUGGAUUCAUUGGCCUUGCAAGACUUGGGAGUUGGUGUGCUAUGUGCUUUGGUGCAAACUCCUAAUCAUCCUUUGCAUCUUGACAAGAGCUAAGGAACCAGCGUAUCGACUUAGAAGAACCUGAGGCCACUGACUAAAUAAGUUUUGCUGAAUUUGGAUAGUGAUGAUCUGUCAUUGUUCUUUUCUGCUUUCAGCAAGAAAGCUCCUGUGGCACUUGGGUUACAAAGCCAGACUGGUGACACUGAGAUUUGUUCUUCCGUGUACAAAAUGAAACCUGAGAUAUUCAAUGGCCAAUCUUUUAACCCAAGCGGUUCAGUGAUAAGAAGGCAUACACGGACAUGAAAUGUUUCAGUGUGUUAAGUGAAGGCUGGGGAUUGCAGGACUGGAUGUAAGAGCUGCUGUGUCUUUUACUCCUGGAGUGUUUUCUUAUCAGAGAGCUUCAGUGGGCAGCAUUAAGACACAUAAGCUGUUCUCUGGAGAGUCCUUCAGAAAGAUCUCCUAGAGACACCAUGAGAAAAAUUGUGCCCUGUGUGGUGUAGCUUGGAUUUCGCUUGGCUGGAAAAGUUACGGAUUUCAUUAGACCUCUGUUAUAAUCUUUGCAACUCUGCCGCAUUGUUGGGCCUUGCUAGUUAUCAUACAGGAACCAGAAAGUGAAACCAGCCUGGGUUUCACCUGCCAAGCUUUGCAGGCCAAGCUCAGACGGAAGCAGAAAGCAGCAGAGCAGGCAGGAGCUGCUAUGUUAAUUUCAGUCGUAUUGUAUUUGAGGGUAAUGAUUGUGAGCCAACAGUCCUGAAGAUGCUGCUGCUGGUCUUUUGCAGAGUAGUGGUCAGCAAAGGCAUUAAGUGCAUCUCAUGAUGCAGUUAAGAAAAAUUUGCUUCCGUUACACAAAGUGUUUGACAAACACAGCAUAAAAAAUAGUAUCAGCAGUAAAGCCAUUUAAGUGGGUAUUCAUUUGGAUGUAAGAUAGAUGAUGUGUUUGACAGGCUUUUGUUCUGUUUUUCCUUUGGAGCUUCCAUGUGCUUAAUAAACACUUUUAAAAGGUUUUGAAAAUUGGUGUAAAUGAUUUAUAAAACCAGAUUUACACAAUCUAGUAGUUCAAGAUGGUGCAAAGCAAACUGGUUUAUUCCAUAAGUAAUUUGAAUUUUAAUGGAAGCAUAAAACUCUUGUAAAUGAGUAAGAUGUGUCAUGAACAGAGAAUUCGUGUGGUUGGAUGGCUGCACAAUGAAGGCCUGCAUUUUCAGCCUGUUCAGCUUCUCAGCACUAGCUGAGACGCGCAUCGGAACUAGGCUUUCUCAAAACACUUUUUCUACUUCCUGUUUCUCCUUGGAGCAGAGCAGAGAGCACCGUGGAAGCAGCAGAGAAAUCUCUUCCCAUCUCUUUUUGGUACUUCUCUUUUCUAGCCCUUCUUGUGUUCCUCAUGCAAGCAAAAGGGAAAAGACCAAACUCCCCCUUCUUUGCAUCUCACCCCAAAUUCAGCAGUUCAAUCGGAGCUUGGCUUCCUCAGGACUGCUGUUUGGCAUUCUCACUGUCCAAAUAUUGUAGCCCUAUACAAAAGUCAUUCCUUGCAGCUAGAUGUGUGUGAUCUUAAAAGCCUGCGAUUAAAGAAAUGGCGAGCCCUGUGAACAGUAGUGUAAAGAUUGGUAAGGAGGGAUCACGGGGGGCAGGCUGGUCUUCCUUUGUCUGCUGUCAUCUUCUGUCUUAAAGUUGUGCUCCUUUUUACAGCAGGGUAAGGAAGAUAGUUACAAAUCAGUAGAUUUUCUUACAGAAACUGUUGUGAACACAUUACCUUUGCAUCAGUGUUGAUCUCUUGUGCACAAAACAUUGAUGGGGGAGAUAAAAUGUGUCAGAAAUUUCUCACCCAACAGAAUGAGUCUCUGUGGAUCUGUGCGGGGUAACUUGCUGAUCGCCAGCAAACUGAAAAUGAAGCUUGCAUCUUUCUCAGUGUCUGAAGGAAAAGCCCUGAUUUUUGUUUCUGGGUUUACGAGCCUUAUAAGCUUAUAAACAUGUUUUAUCUAAGAAGAACUUUAUAUGUUGCCUCUGCCUUCUUACACAGAAUUUCAUGAACUAUAAAGGGGAUCUUUUGUCAGAAGAAGAUAGAGCCUCUUGCCAAACAAUUGUUGCACAGUUCCAUUUGCAGUGUUUCCUAACUUGCUAAAUAUGGGAAGUAACUUACUGCUAUCAGGCAGUAAGCAGAUGUGCAAUUGUUUUGUGCUUGUCUUUGGAGGGAGAGCACAUUACUUCAGUUGAUCUGCCAGCCUGAGAUUGAUAUGGGAAACAGGAGCAUUUUUGUGAUGUUAGAACUUAUAUUGCCAAUCCUUGUAUCAAUUUGAAAAACAAAUGGAAAUAUCAGCAAUUGUAGGCCAUUUUCUGGAACUGAAGCUAGAGUUUUGGCAGUGGGUAUGUGAGCAUAAAUUAACUGUUGGGUAAUUAAGGUGUUUCUUUGAGAAGUGUGGAAGAUCUUUUCCCCCUAUGACAAAUAGAGACGGAUGCUGUUUUAUUGUCAUUGUAAUGCUGCAGUUAACAUCCUUGGAGAAUUCCUAGUGUUUUGGGAGUAUCACAGCAUGAACUGUUUCAGCUUUUCCUGCACUUCCUUCAUCAUCCUCUUUGGGUUAUUUUUGGCUGUUUCACUGCAUUGUAUGCAUUUAACAUACUCUGUGCGUUUCUAAGGGCCCAGCGAUGUUUCCUUGAGGUUUUCUGGAACGAUUAAAAUAGUUUAUGCUAACCCUCUUUGAAUGUUUAUUACAGAAUGACCUACAGGGAAAUAGAAAAAGGCUAUGAAACAAAAACUAUGAAUGAAACCAGUAGUUUAAUUUCAGAGUACUGAAUUUUCCAGUGCUGUCUCUUCUCUUACUUGUCUUUAAACUAUCGUGGAUUUCUAUGGCUUUGUGCCACAGUUACUCUUGCACAGGAGACUUCUGUUCACCUUGCUGUUGCUUUAAAAGCAUUUAUUUCCAUUAUUUCUGCAUCUCUGCUAGUUGGCUUUAAUUAUAUCCAUUAAUGAGAAGUGAUAAAGAAGUGUUUGAAAUUGCAUAAAAAGUUGUGUAUCAUACUCAUUUUAGUCUUCUUAAUGAAACUGGGGUACUUAAUUGAGUGCAUCUCAUUUUGGCUCAGAUUUCCUUUCUGUAGUUCUCAUUCCAUCUACUCGAGUAUUAUGAUUUUCAUAGAGAUUUCUGAAUACUGAAUAUUUGGAAAAGUCUAAAUGAAUAUGUGGCCUAAAGAAAAAAUCAGCCAGACAAUCUUAACCUUAGUAGGGCCUAACUGUAGGUCUCAUUUUUUCCUUAAAUAAUCCAUUUUUUUUAAAUUUUUUUUUUUUCCCCUUUUCCAUUAUGUUUCUUUGUCCCAGUGAUGUACUUGGAUUAAGAGAGAGGAUGAAGUCUACAUGAAUGUUGAAGGGCUAUGGAAAAGGCUGAUAGUUUGGUACAUUUUGGUUUAAAUAAUCAUUGCAGAGAGUUUAUUGACUUGAAACAUUUGUACAGAGAUGUACAUGUAACACUUGGCAAGUGUCCUUUCUUCCAUGCUAUUGAAUUCCAUCCCAUGUAUUUUCUGCCUCUGUCCCCAGCUUGUUCCCACUUCUUACCUAUUCUGUGAAACUGCUCUUUUUAAAGCACUGACUCAUACUGUGUCAAGUCAGGGAAGUUGUGUGGCAAGAUCAUAUCUUUAGCACUUCUUUUGAAGGAGUAAAUAACCAAGGCAUGUGGACCUUCAGAAGAAAAGGUUACUAGGACAAUACUUGAAAAACAUAUUUCAAAAGCAUAUGUUCCAGGAUGUAGCUUCAUGUGAUUUCCACUAUUUCAGAAGUCUUUAUAUGCUGCAGAAAGCUCUCAGGAAAGUUUAUCUCAGCUUAUAGUUCACUUUUUUUUUCUUUUUUUUAAUGUUUCUUUCUACAUUUCAUAAUUACUUCUCUUUAAAUAAGCUUUGGAUUUACUGCAUGUGCUAAUUUGUUGCUUUUGUAACAUGAGGAUAAACGAAGACAACCAUCUUUAGAUUACCUUUUUGUUCUUUUUUUGCCCAUCAGCAUUAUACACUUGCCACAAUUUAUGUUGCCUUACAUAAAAGGAAGAGCUCUCAGGCAGGGAAACUGAGGCAGAGAGUUGUGGCACAGUGAUGUGCAAGGUAAGACUGUGGGAUCAGUCUGCUUUCCUAACUGCUUCAAAUUCAAAGAUGCUCGUUAUGAAUUAAGAUUUUAGAAAUCUUUUGGGCAGUUUUAGCUUUAUAGUGGCAAUUUCUUGACAAGCCACUGAGGGAGAAGUAAUGUCUGCCACAUGCUUGUCUUUGGAGACAUCUGUCUAAAUUGUUUGGACAGCCCCAGAGAGAAAAAUAUGUCAGAACAGGCUGAAUGGUAAGAGAUGGGCUAUCAUGAGAUGACCAACAGCAUUACUGCAAGCAGACCAGCCUUCAAGGGUAAAUUUUUUGGUUUAUGCCUGUAAAUACCUUGCUGAGAGUUUUUUUUAUGUUUCUGUAUCAUAAUGACUGCGAUCAGCUGUAAGAACACAUUAUUAUAUACAAAAUAAUCAGCAUUUGAAUGUUUGAAAGACUUUUGGUAUAAAGUUAUGUGGUACCUUAAAAAAAAAACAAACAAAACACAAAAAUACUCUUGGAUGUGAGCACCGUCAUCUGACAGAUUGCAAAAACACUAGGAGGCCUUGCAGGCUGCAGAUAAUAGUAUAUGACAAUGUCUGGCAUUUUAGGUGGGAAGCAGCCUGUGUAGAAGAACAUAGUGCCAGAGGUUAACAGCACAGCACAGAAUAUACCUACUUGGGGAAAGCUGAGAGCUCUCACAAAGAAAGCCACUCUCCUUCUUCAAGGUACCAAAACACAGCUCCAUUAGCCUGUCUGGCACUGGUCCUCGCUUGCUCCAGGCAGAGCCACACUAUUUAAAAACAACAACAAAAAAGAACUCGUCCUGUUUGGUAUAUUUAAGACAUUAGUGCAGGAAUAUCUUCAUAUCUGUAAGUAUGUUAUAAAGCCCACAGGAAACAGUGUCCAAGAGAUAAUGGAAUAUCCAGUGAACUACAAUAAAGUGUGUGACUGGUCUUUUGAAACCAGCAUGGAAGUAAAACCAGCAUGGAAGUACUUUGGGAAAGCUGUAGGUCUUUUUUUUGAUGGGGGUGGGGGUGGGGUUGCUACUAUUAUUUUGACUUGUGUUCUGUCAGUCUUUCUGUAAACAUGGCACAUGACUUUCCAUGUUCUUUUUCCACUUCUUUUUAUAUACAUUAUUUUGCGUACAUAUGUUUUUAUAUAGUACUCAUAUAAUUUGGGCAAAUUAACAGACACCUAAUAUAAAGUAACUAAUUGCAAGCAAUCAAUUUUUCUACUGGCAGGGUGGAUUUGGUGAAGGCAGUGGGGGAUCAUCAUGUGCUCUAGUGCUCCUUCAAGGGAGGAGGAGUAGAUUGUCAGGGAAAACCAACACAGUGCUUCUGGACACACUGCCACUGCUUAAUGCAUAGGACUGUGUGGCUUGUAGAUGAAUUCUUUACAAGCAUCCUUUGCUUCCAGAACCUGCUGUCUGUAAGCAGAUGUCUGCUCAAAGGUAAGAGACCCUGGCCUAUAGAAUCCCACCAAGAAGCUUGAAGUUGCUGGAGGGUUCCUCAUAAACCUCUUUGUGCCUACAAAUUACUGGGUGAUUUAAAGCCACCAAAAGUUGCAUAGCUGUAUUUCAGAGUUUGUAACUAAAAUCAGGCAGAUUGCUUUCAAGUCCAUGUGUAAGAGAUGUUUUUCUAUUAGCUAAACAUUGAGCUAGGCAUUAAAAGUAUUGUACUGUUUUUCCUCAAUUUUGCCCUGGGGACAAGACUGUUCAUCCGCUAAAGCUGACACUGUUUCAGAGCUAUCACUUAUGGAUUCCUUUUGCUAACCUAAUAUAUUGGUUCUUAAACUAAUGCACUGAUCCCUAUCGCCAUUUUCUUUUUGAGGAUUAAAACGUUUAUAUCCUAAUCUUCACCACUGUUGACUUUUCAGACUUUUCAAAUGUAGAGAUACAUCUCCAGCAUUCAAUAAUGCAACAAGCAAGGAUACAUAUAGUGGUUACACACUAUCCCAAAGAUAGUGGGAUCUACUUCAACCAUUUGAAUAUGGGAAGCCAGGAAGUCGUUUUGUUUCAGCAAACUGUAUCAAGUAAGCCAAGAUGACAUAUUUCAGUUUGGUGCCAUAUAUGCAAGUGUUUCUGUUCUACCACUCUGAUGUACAUACACGCAAUCACUAGUACUAGAUACUGUAUUAAUCCCACCUUGUGUGGUUAACAGUGUAUCUAAAGCCAUUCUAUUUCACCUUCCCUUAGCUGCCCUGGCUAAGCUUUGGACUUCUUCAAGGGCAAUACUAGUAUUCUAAAGCUUUCAUUUCAAGGGAUUUUGCCUGUAGGGGCAGAGAUGUGAGGCAUCAAUGGCAUAAUUGAUAAAAAAUAAAAUUAAAUAAUAUAUACAGGUGGAAAGGGCGGGAAGGCUGAGGUGAGGAAAAAAGAGGCGGGAAGAGAAAAGGGUGAGAAGAGAAAGCGGCGUUCUGAGCUCCUAUUGGCUGACGGGUGUCAGGGAAACUUAUAUAAGGCGCAUGGGCGGGAAGGUGUGCUUCAGGUAUUUACCUCAGAGCACGCGAUGAAGCGGGAUGCUGCGAUGGAAAGGCAGCGGGCGGACUUCAAGCAGCCUCCUGGGACAAGGUGAGGAGUGGGAUGGCUGGGGUGUGGUGGGGCUGAGGGGCAGCUGGGAGCAGUGGAUACGGAUGCCAAGCAUGAUGCAUUGGAAACGAUGAUUUGGAGGAGGAUUCUGAGGGGGGGUGCCGGUCCGGAAAGCGGGGCCUCCGGUGGCUUGAGGGAAAGGGGGCGGCUGGCCAGAGCGGGGCCCCAACGGCUCAACCUUGAAGGUGCUAUGGGACAAAAAAAAAGAAGAAAUAAUAAAGCAGUUUUUCUCAUGACUGGUGUGAUGCUCCUUAAGGAUUUUAUUUCGGUUUAUAACACGAGGCUGGCAGGAAUAGGGCUCAAGUUAAGAGAAACAUUUAGGAUGUGAAGGAAAGAGCACUGCAACAGUGCUGAAGUAUUUAAGAAAAUGAAUUUGAUGGAAAAGCAUUGAGAGAAAGGAAGAGGUAGGUUGCUCUGCAAAUAAACUAAGUAUUGAACAUAAAGUUAUGUUUCCUACCAUGGGACGAUACAUGGCAUUAGAUAAUGAGUGUUGUCAAUCUCUUAUCUAAAUUAAGGAACUGUGCCUCAGCCAGCUGGAGAGUUGUACCCAGCUUUGCCUGUAUUUCAGAAGAUAGUGGUUGUAGCAGGUGCUAUAAGUAGUGGCAGCUGGAAUGAAUUGGGAAGAAAAGUGGGUGGGGUGGAAUGUUGCCAUGCCUCGUAUUUCAGGAUCUGCUGCCGAAGAAAGAAGAAGCGACGUUGGGACCUGGGAGGCAGGAGCGAGGAAGAAGAGGAUGCAGAAGCCCGCCAAUGCGGGGGGGAAAGAGAAAGGCAUUCUGGGCAAAGCACCUCCCUGUUAGCAGGUCUAUAGUCACAUUGGAAUUGAACGUUGCCGGCGGCCUUGGGUGACCAGGCCGUCUUUGUGCUGGGCGACCUCCCUGUAAGCAGGGCUGUGGUCUUUGCUGUAGUUGGCCUUUUGCCUUGAUGCUCCUUUGGCUGCCCGGGGAGUGUGGCCCCCCGUAAGGAGGGUGCGAGCCACCUCUCCACACCCGAGUGGGAAACGGAGCUAGCUGGACCCCAAGGCCACCCUGUAAACAGGGUAGGUGCCUUUUCCCUGCCCCUUCUCCCCCGGCCCCGCAGUGCCGUUGCCUGCUGGUGGCCUGACAGUGUGCCAGCCCUGUACUCGGGGUGUGUGGCGCGGCAUUUGGCCUUUGUCCUUACUUGAGAAGCCCCUUGGCACGUUGAGGUCUGUGGCCUCCGUGCAGCCCUGGAACAGGUCACAGGCUCUUGUGUGUUGCUCGUGGGUGUGGGUUUAUUCCUAGGCGUUGGCUGCGCUGCGUUGUCCUUCCCUUCUGGAAAGUUGCAUCUGUGUGUGUGUGUCCCCCUUCCCUGUUUGCGUUGUGGAGUGAGUGAGCGAGUGUGCUUUCCUUUUAGGCCCCCACAGAGAUGGCUGCAGCUUAGCUUUGACUUCCCAGGGGGGAAUGGAGGACUUGGUUGCAUGCCUUUAGGGGAGGGGGGGGUCUU